AGCAGAGUGGCCUAGUGGUUCAAGAGCACAGGCCUGAGCUUCAGAAGCAUCUGGGUUUGAAUCCCAGCUCUGCCA
rnacentral:tRNA from 1 species